rnacentral:rRNA from 1 species
AUACGGAGGGUGCAAGCGUUAUCCGGAAUCAUUGGGUUUAAAGGGUCCGCAGGCGGUCAAUUAAGUCAGAGGUGAAAUCCCGUCGCUCAACGACGGAACUGCCUUUGAUACUGGUUGACUUGAGUUAUACGGAAGUAGAUAGAAUGUGUAGUGUAGCGGCGAAAUGCAUAGAUAUUACACAGAAUACCGAUUGCGAAGGCAGUCUACUACGUAUAUACUGACGCUCAUGGACGAAAGCGUGGGGAGCGAACAGGAUUAGAAACCCCGGUAGUCC